rnacentral:ncRNA from 1 species
UGGAGCUGGCAAUAAUACCUUUUGAGGUGCUCGAGUGUUCCCUCCGCGGAUGUGGAGACUUAAGCUCGGGAGCCCAUCUCAUUAGACGCCGCUCUA